ACUGCAUCCCCUAGCGGCGCCCGGGUGGCUGCAGCCGCUGGCCCGAAAAUGCUGCUCGGGCGAGCAGGGGUCAGGCGGGAAAAGAAGACUCCAAAUCCACUCUCUGCUCGCCCCCAGGGCAAUGCUGCCAGGAGAGGGAGUGGGUUCCCCCGCAGGCUAUCCCACCGAUGGGGCUGAGAGCUUAAUUUGGGGUUUUAUUUGAAUUGGAGACAUUGUUCCCUCUUCGCUCCUCUACCCCAUAAAAUUCCCUACAAAUGCAAAAAUUCGAGAUAGAAGAAGCCGUCCCUGAAAGUAAGUUCUGAAGGAUUCCUUUCAUGCGGUGAAGGAACAACAACAAUAUUCAACUUCACCUUGGUGUGUGAGGGUCGUCGUGUUUUAAAACACUAUCCCUGUAGAAAGAUUAGUGAAAUGUAUUGGAAGAAGUAGUGGAAACGUGAAUCUUCCUGGUCUCGCGUUUGGAUCUUCUUUGGAGUCCUCACCUUCUUAAAUCUGAUGUUUGUUUGAAAUCAGGGCUGAAUUUCCAUAUAUAGGACAGAAAGAAAGAACCCCAAUUUUUUAAAGAAAGCUCCCCCCCCCCCCGCCACGUUUCUCCUGAGCCCACUUGGUCUCCCGUUAUUAGGCGGCCCAGUUAAGAGGCAUCGAUUUUCCUUUCAUUCUCUGACCACUCGUCUCUCCUGGGCCAGCCAGGCUGCCCGCAUCUUCUCCUGCUCACAGCGCUCUCUAAACCUUUUAAUUAUUUAGUUGCUGUCUAACAUUCACCGGAAACCUCUCCAUAAACAAGGAGAAACGAAUGCACACGCAUUUUUGCUAAGAAGCCCGGGAUUAAGAUUUAAGGAUACAAGCUGAAAGAAAAAAUGAAAAAUGCUUCUCCGCGCGUCAAUCGAGGGGUGGAUGCGCCACGCAGCGUGAGCCCAGCUCACAGCCACGCGUAAGACCAAAAGCUGCCAUGGGUUCUGCGCGCGGAGACCUCAGAGCCGAAGAGAGAAGUCCCCGCGUCAGAAACGCUGCGGAUGCCAGGUCUUGAAAAUGCUGACUUCUGAGGCUAAGAAUUAUUUCAAAGACAAAAAGAAAAGACUGGAGCAGCCGGCGGAGCUCGGGUGGAGGAAAGCGAGGAGGCGACCAGGAGGAUGCCGCCGCCGCCGCCGCAGGGCCCGGGGCUUCUGCAGGGCGCAAGGCCUCCCUCACCAGGGUAAGGGGCUGGCGAUCAACCUGGACGCCUGGGACCUUGGGAGCAAGCAUCCCGCAGCCGAGCAGGCGACGGCGCGGCCACCGCCUAGAGAGGAGCCGGGGCCCGGGGCGGCGUGCGGGUCGGCAGCAGCCGGCUUGGCCUAUCCGAAACCCCAGGCCUGGAAGCGGCUGCUUUAGGCGUCAAGUUGAGCGGGGUAUGUGUGUCCUCUUGGGAAAAAGGUGAGAAAUGGAGCCGGACUUUCUCCACUCGGUAGGGGUUAAGCUACCACACACACCCCCAAACACAUGCCCACGUGCAAGUCCCUCCCACCCGCCCUCCCAGGGGCGAAGAGACCCUGUCCCAGUGGAAGUGGGGAAACCCAGUCGGGUACAGAAAGCAGAGGCCAUGGCGCAGAGCGGAGGCGCGGCUUUCUGGGGCUCAGCCCUAGGGCUACAGACCCAGGGCGCGGAGAUGCUCGCGGCCGGGCCACCCACCAGAGCCAGGCAACCGGCGCUUCCAGGCGAGCUCCGCGGGGCCGAGGUGCCGGGAGAAGCGGCCCCGGGCGCCCGCGCGCUGCCCGACCUGGGUAACAGGCAAAGCGGAGCCCCGGGGUCGAAGUCCUAAAGUUACUAAUCCCGCGGAGGGGGAGAGAGCGUGCCUCGGGCCGCCCGGGGCGGUCAUUUGAGCGUGUUUACUUAAAGACUUUGCAAGCAGAGCGCGCGCGAAAUCGUCGGAUUUCCAGCGAGGCAGCAAAUAUUUGCAGGCAGAAGAAAGAAGCGGAGCCGAGCCGAGCCGCCGAGUCCCUCCCCCCGGAGCCCCGGAGCCCCGGCGCCUGCCUGGGCGGUCCCGGCCGCGCAGACAGAAAAGAAGCCGGGAAUCUGCGGGGCUGGGGGGCGGGGAGCGACACCAAAGGCCAGAAACUGCAGCACGGCCCGAGGCCCUGGCGAGCUGGGCCUGGGGGAGGAGAAGUCCCUUCCCAUUCCAGCUCGAUCAAUCUUGCUGGGCUGCGAUCGGUCAAUAAAAACGGUGUGAAGCGGCCGCUGUCGCUGUGAGUCUGGGGAGGAAGUGGAGGCCAAAGGUGUCGAGGCCGGCGCCAGUACCCCGCACCAGCCGGGUCCGCGGCCCCGCGGUCUGCACGUCGCAGGCCGGGGGCCAGAGCUUUGCCGGCAGCCGAGAGCGGCCCGGCGGGGCCUUUAAUUGGGUGUCUCCAUUUUAAUAGAGGCCAUUGUUGGAGCAAUUAGAGAAAGACAAUAACCGCCCAGAGACGUUUAAUUCGAUUCCCUGCGCCCGCCGCAGUACGCACCGGGGCGCUCUGGAAGAGUGGCCGAGGCUGCGCGGAAGGGAGGGUCCGCUUGGGGAGGCGCCGGCUUCUUUCCUUGCUUGCUUUGCCUUCGGUGUGGGAAUUGUAAAGGGCGACUGGGGCAAGAUGAAAGCGGGGCGAGGGCGACCUGAGCCAGGCCAGGGCCGGCCUCUCUAGCCCACGCCGGGCGCCCGCGGGACCGCCGCGCCUUUCGCGGCGCGCGUCCAGCUGUGGCCGCCGCGGAGGUCCCCAGCGCCUGUUCAAAGGAGAGAAGCCGGAGGACCGGGCCGUGAAAACUGGCCUCCUUCCUCCUUAGCCCCGGGUCCCCAUUUCUGUCACCCGAACCAUGUCCAUAUUUCCUUCCCUAUGGUGGGAGGAGGGGCAAAGGAGAGAUCCCGGGUAUUGGAGCGCGCACACCUCCGUCUCCAACCCAGCCAGCCUCACCGCCCCCUCCUCCGCCUCGGCCCCUGGAUUAGGUUACCCUGGCCGCGCAAGGGUUUCUACUGGAUAGGACUAUAGCACAGGUAAAGCUGUAUAAACAGCUCGCCGGCUGCCGGGCGGGAGGGUUAUGCCGGGGACACGGCUCCAGGCGCCGCCGCUGGCCCCGGCUGCGCGGGCCACACCGCGGGGAGCCCGCUGCGGCAGGGCGCCCCGGACCGCGCAGGUUAAAUACAUAUUAUCUCUGUCUCUGCCACUCGGGCCCCCGUUUUCUUUCCCUUGCGAGCUGAAAUGCGGAGAGCGGGGAGCAAGACCUAAACGGGAAGAAAAGGCAGUCGGGCAGUGGGCAAUACUGGUUGAGGAUCCCGGCCCAGCAAGGCUGGCUCUCUUCAAACAAAACCCAGAGAGCAGGGAACUUGGGGGAAAGCAGAGAAAGAGGGACCCUAAAACUCACUGGCAAUGGGAAGAUGAUGGAGGCGGGUGCGUCCAAGGGGCAACUCUCCUCGCGGCUCCCACGCCCACGCGCCCCGGGCCAGGAGUCUACCUUCCCCGUGAAAUGAGCUAUCGUUUUGGGGAUGGUAUGUGAUUUGAUUUACCCUUUUUUCUUUUCCUUCCUUUAGUUCUUUUUUCUUUUUCUUUUUUCUUUUUUUUUCUGUUUGUUUGUUUGUUUUGCUUAUUCAUCGAUCACCGUUUAAAACUCGGAAGGAAACCCGCCCAGGCCAGGAGAGCCGCGAGCCGUGGGGAGAGUCAAAAAAGAGGAGAUGCGCUGGGAGAUUCCCCCCGCCCCCGCACUCCGCCCCCAGCCCGGCCCCGGCCUCCACUUCGAGGGAUCCUGACCCUCCCACCGCCACUACCACCUUUUCCCCGGUUGAGAAAACCCCUGAUUGUAGCGAGAUAAAAAUUGGGUAGGUAGGGGUGCAGCGGAAAGGGGGAGACAGGAAGGGAGAGGGCAGGGGAUUUCUGCUUUCGGGUUUAACAACUCACACGUGAGGCGAGUGGCAGUUGGGGGGAGCCCCGGGUUGGGUGGGAGAGAAGGAACUCGCCUUGAGGGUGAGUGGAAAGGAAUUGGAGUCACCCUGGAGGAAAAGUGCCCUUUUCAGCUCUCUCCCUCCCUCCUGGCCUUGGCAGGUGGGGGGACAGGUGGGUGCCACGGGAGGAAAAGAAGGGGUGGAGGCAGCCCAGCCGGCGUCCCUGGGUCUCCCGGGCUUUGGACAUCUUACCCUGCCCCCAGUGGCAUCAGUGACUCCUAGCCAGGGGCUUGCUACUUCUAGACCCGACCUCUCCUCCGUCCCAGGGGGCCGCUCAGCCACACCGCUAUAGCACCCAGGACUCCGGCCCCUGCACCAAGGAAAGGCUCCAGCCUGGCAGAAAUUCACCCAUUUCAAGGCUUGGCCCACCAGGCCUUAGCAUUGCCGGGUGAGGUGGGGUGCACGCGGUGUUCAGUCUGGCCAGUCGGAGUCACCUGCUCCACUCCCCCGGCCUGGUCACCCACAUCCUCACAGCCACCCAGCUCCUGAGCCCCCUGGCCAACCACAGCCCCAACCCCCAGCGCUGGCCUCAGCCGAGUCUCCUCCGUCUGCUUCAGUUUGGCCUUUUAGGAGGAGAAGGAGGGCUUUAUCUGGGGACUAUUGUGUUUUGACUCAUCUAGAUUAGCCUAGGAGCUGGAGUGUGAUUGUAGCGGGACACUCUGGCAGGGGAUGUGUUCACAGCACGGAUAGGAAAAGAGGGGGAGGGGGACUCCAUUCAGAUCUUGGAGACAGUAGAGGCGCGCUUUUAAAAGCACAAACCGUUCUUGUCUUCCUUUGGACAUGCUAGAGACCACCUGGUGAAAAAAAAAAUCCAUGUUUGUGCCCGACUCAGAGGUGCAAAGGAGGAGGUUUGGCAUGCGCACCCUUCUCCCGGCCUCCCUUGGUCCCGGACUGCCCCCUACCCGCAGCCCCUCCCUCCGGGCAGCUCAGCUCUAGGCUGCCUUCCACCUCGCGGACCCUAAGCAAUUUGUUAUAUAAAACAAAACAGCAACCAGACGCAUGUGCCUGUUCUUCACUAACGCCAGCAGACCGGCAGCGACGGAUACCCGGUGGACCUCAGCCGGGACGCCUCGGGCAGCAGCUUCUUGCCCGCUGCCGCACCCACCUCUGCACCCCAGCUCGGGUCAGCCCAGCAGCCAAAGCAAAAGGGGGAUUCCUCAGUUUGCUCCCUUGGAGGCUACAAAGCCUCUCUCUGGUUAUUCCAACCGUUAAGUAAAAAAGAGGUGAUGGGAAAGAUUUGGUCUGCACACAAAGAUAUACCAGGAGAAGAAUGCACAUUUAUGUGUAAAAUGGCUUAGGCACCAAGAAUGAGACAUCACUUCAGUGCAGCCUAGAAAUAGUUAAAAAUAACCGAAUGCUAGAGGACAGAGGUGGUUUUGGGAUCUGCCCCACACUCCUUAUCAGGAUCCCUAAUUCCCUGCCACCUCCUAUGGUUCCAGGACGCAAACUGCUUUAACCUCCAGAAGAGGGGUUUUCAGCCACCUGGCUCCCACCUACCUGCCGGUUCCCCAGGCACUCUGUGUGACCCAGGGCAACUGGACAACCCAAAAGAAAACCCCUACCAAACAAUGCUCAGGGCUUCCCAC
rnacentral:lncRNA from 1 species